CCUACGGGAGGCAGCAGUGGGGGAUAUUGCACAAUGGUGGAAACCCUGAUGCAGCAACGCCGCGUGAGUGAAGAAGUAUUUCGGUAUGUACAGCCCUAUCAGCAGGGAAGAGAAUGACGUUACCUGACUAAGAAGCCCCGGCUAACUACGUGCCAGCAGCCGCGGUAAUACGUAGGGGGCGAGCGUUAUCCGGAUUUACUGGGUGUAAAGGGGGCGUAGACGGCGUGUCAAGUCUGAAGUGAAAGCCCGGGGCUUAACCCCGGAACGGCUUUGGAACCUGAGCAGCUAGAGUGUUGGAGAGGUAAGCGGAAUUCCUAGUGUAGCGGUGAAGUGCGUAGAUAUUAGGAGGAACACCAGUGGCGAAGGCGGCUUACUGGACAGUAACUGACGUUGAGGCUCGAAAGCGUGGGGAGCAAACAGGAUUAGAUACCCGAGUAGUC
rnacentral:rRNA from 1 species